CCAGCUUCUCUGCAAACCUGGGAAUGGGUGGGAGGUGCGAAGCCUUGUGUGAGAGGCCCUGCUGUUGUUUGGAGGCUGGCUUGAGGCGUGCUGCCCCUUGAAAAGAUGGGGAAGAGGCAGAGCUGUAAGGUAGGCUGUCAGAUGUGUCGUUUGGGGUCACAGGUUGCAGAGUCCAAAACUGUAGGUCUCAGGACCAUAAGAAAGUCACAGACUGUGCAUUUAAGGUCAGGUUUUCUAGGUAUACUCUUCCUCUUGUAGCUCUCUGUGUUGGAUGUUUCAGAAAAGUUCUGCUCUUUAAGUAGCUGACUUGGCCCCACCACCCUAACUCCAACUAUUUGCCUGCCAGUAUUCCCCUUAUAGCAGCUAACCCAGCUGACAGUUAAUGAAUCUAACUCUUGCCAGAGGUGAAAAAGUGCACUGAGGUGUGGUGGACCAGGAAGGCGUGCUGAAUUCUCAGCCAUUAGUGCAGCAAAACGCUGCCUGUGCCAGUGGCUGCGGGGUGAAGGUGGGAGCAGAGUUAGAGCAGUGCCAGGGCUGUGGGUGAGGUUUCCUGCUAGUAGCACUGACAGCAGUUAUUCUGUAUGAGCCUGGGCACAAUCCAGGGCAGUGCUCAGAGCAGCCAGGCACUGCUGCUGGAACACGUGAGCGUUCUGCUCUAUGGAAAACGAUGUGUGAAUGGCAGCUGAGCUGGGCAGCAGAGGCUGAACCUUUUUCUCAGUAGAGAUUACUCAGUGCCGCCCACAUCAUCAGAGCUCACCCACAGCAAUGCUGCUUCUCCUUUUUCAAAGAAAACGUGGGUUGUUUUGCACACGUUGCACGUGGUUAGCAAACCUGGUCGUGGUUUGCAGAGACUGUUUCAGCUGCCCAGCACCUGCAAGCCGCAGAGCUGCUCUGCACCCAACCCUGGGUGGCAUAUCCCACUCGUGCUCUCAGCAGCUCCGUUAUUUCUUUGCGACAACAGAGGGCACCAGCGGCCCUUGCUUAGUACAGGGCUCUGCCCUCCCGGGCUCCCCGGGACAUGCAGGGCGGCUCCUACGCCUUCGGACUCGUGGGAGAAAGCAGCCCUAACACCAUGCACAUCCUGCUCCUCAGGUCUGGGAAGAUGCGUGCAGUGAAGCCGGUGGUUUGUUCCCACUGAGCCUGCGUGGGUGUUUGUGAAAAUGUGCAAGUCUGCAAAGAGCAGAGGUUUGGAUACAGCUGGCAAAGCAUGUUUUAUUCUUCCAGUGGUCAUUCUGCAUCUCCAGUUCAGCGGGGUUCAAUCCGGAUGUCUGCACCCAAGCAGAAGCUACUGAAAUGUCAGGAAUCAGUUAAUCUGCAAUGAAACAGUUUGGAUCUGAGGCGAGGUCUGAAUCUGUGCUGCAUUACAUCAGUUUGGCCUCACUGACAGCUGUAUAGCACGUGAGAGUUGCCUGCAGGGACGACCCUGAGCUAGCUCCAAGCUAUUCCCUGCCAGCUUUCCCACCAGAGCUGGGAGGAGCGCAGUGCAGACUAGCUGUUUGAGCCCGAGAUCCCCAGCAAACCUGUCAGCCCUCAGAGCUGAUAGGCGGUCCAUCUAGAGGUAAUCCCAGCAAAGUGCCCCAGGCUGCCCCAAGGGUGAUCCAGGUGCAUUCUGGUGUAGGCUGCCUGUGGAGAGAUGCAGAGAAGUUCAAGCUGUAUUUGUUAUUCUCCUGAAGCACAGCGAAGCAGCCCCGGCGAGGAGUGAUCCCUGGCUGUGGCAUGUUCCAGCAAACGUGGUGGAAUGUGACAGCAAGGAACGCAUGCUGCCUGAGCCUCCCUGGAGAGAUGGGAGCAACAGUCGUGCUCACUUGGUGUCCUUGCUGCCUGCAGUCACCCUGCACAGGAGGAGCCCAGUGGUCACACUUGUCCCCACAGCUGCAGACAUCACCCAUCAAUGCUGCUCCCAGGUCUCUGGUAAUGGAAGGUUCAGCUCCCUGGGACUGGCGGAGUCACGGCAUCGGGACUGGUAAGUGGAGAAUAACUAGCAUGUUUCUGCCCCCUUAGCUGAUAGGAAACAUCCAAAGCAGCACUGCUAGCUGGAGGUCCUGUGCUCAUUUCAUACAAACCAUCGCUGAGGAGCAGCAUGCUUGGCUUUGCAGUAGGUGUGUUGCACACAACACAGGUAUGCUGUUCCAACAAGGAGGCUGUCAGAUAUGAAAGCUAUCGCAGCCAAAUUCCUUCUUCAGAGUUCCUCAGGAGUAGCAAAAAGUCUGGCAAGGCUGGGGAACAGCUUUGAAACUUGGUAUUUUUCUUCUUCUAAAGAUACCUCUGAUGUUCAGCUAUUUCCCCACACUUAUUCUUUGCCUAGGGUAGAAUAUAACAUACCAAAUGAAAUGUUAAAAACAAAUAAGCAGGAAGUGUAUUCAGCAAAAUCAGCUGUAGUUUAUUUUAUAGGAUGUGUAACAGUAUCUUAUUUUGUGCUUGACACUGCAAAGGCUCCUAAUGUCCAGCUAGCACCUUAGAAAUGUUUUUAAAGAGACAGAUGAGGCAAGAGGCAUUGCAGGCUGCUGCUGUGUCUUCUGCUGGAUGCCCUCAGUGCUUUUCGAACAGGCAGGGAUUGGCAUCCCCUGUUUACACACGGGAAAACAGAAAUAAAAGAGUUUAUGGCUCCUAUUUCCAAAAGCAGUCACUAGCUUUGUGUCUGUCUUUUUGGUGCCAAACUGUGAGAGUUUUUAAAGUUCUGGCAUGUGUGCAGAACAAAGACCAACUGUUCGCUGGUUUAACUGGUUUGACUUGUACACUGCUCUGCUGAAAAGGUGCCUUAGUGUGAAGUUUGCGUAGCACAGUGGAGAAGCAGAUGUUCCCUUCAUCCCUGUUGCCCAUCAGGGCUGGAUUUUAGAAGUGCCCCAGUCGAAGCCAACAGUGUUUGCACUGUCCAGCACUGCUGAGAGCUGGGCCAGGUGUUAGAUCAAAUGUCUGGAGCUGAGAGUGUAACAUUUUUUCAGAUGUGCUUCUCAGUGAUUUUUUUCCAGACAGAUGCGGGAAGUCUGUGGUAGAGCUGGGAACAGAGCCUGUUCCUGUGCUGCAGGAGGCUGUGUGUCUGACAAGACACAGGCAUAGCCCUGCAAAGUAAAUGUGAUUUCAUGGUGGGAGCUGCACGGCACCUGGCAGUUGCACCAGGGGAUUUUUCCUGGUUCCCAGGUUCAUAGGGGUUUGCACCAUGGCUAAAAUCUCAAAACCUCUGAAAUUCAGCAGGGAGAAGGUUGGUGCUUCAUUAUGGGCCUAUUGUCACAGUGCAUCUUUCAAGAGAGUACUUGUAUGUUUGUGUGUGGUGUGGGCUGGGUGGGCAGCUCCCUGCUGCUCUGUCUUUUCCUUAUUGGAUGUGUGCGCUUGCACAGCACAGGUUUUCUGUCCUGCAGCUCUUAUGAGUUCACAUUCAAAGAUUACUUUCUCAAGACGUUCUUUUUGUUAAAAUGUGCUGUUUCCAUAGUUGCACCUGUUCUCAAGGAUACCACCCAAGGGUAAGCUCUUAGAGGGCGCAAAGCCAGCAUCGCAAGUGCAGUUUCCAUGGGAAAUGCAGGCAGGUAUAUCUUUACCUGCAGCUCAGAGUAUCUGCUCCCUUCUCCUCUUCUGCAGUGUGCCAAGGAACAACCAGUUCCUGCAGCAGACAAGGGCUGUGGUCUCCAGAGCAGUGAGACUGCAGCUGAGCUCCCUACAAAGAGGAUUUAAAACCACAUCUCAAACCCCCCUCUGCCAGAACAGGUCAGAAGUUCCAGAUUUUCUUGUAUAACAGUCAGGCUUAAUUUUCUCUUCACUUGUUUUUAAAAAUGCUUAUAUUGUGCUGCCAUUAGGUAAAGAGUGGAAUUUUGGACUUAAAAGCAGGUUUUAUACUCUUUAUUUAGUGGAAGACCUGGAGCUUUUUUGUUGAAAAUACAUCCAUGGAAAGAGUUCACUGAAGAACGUUCUGCUUAGAAGUAUUUCAGCCAUCUGCCAUAGGAAGGAGUUGAAAACCUCUCAGGCCUUUCCUGCUGUGAACACGCAGGAUUUUCUCUAGCCAAAGGCUGAAUCUUUCACCUGUGGAUGAAGGCUCCAUUUUUUGAUCGAUGUCACUGUCACUGAAACAUGUAAAUGCAAAGGAGUUUGGAUGAAACCCUAACCGAUAUGCGGCAGGGAGCAAUCGUGGGCUGGCAACAGGAUGGAAUCACUGACCUAAUCAACCAUUUCCCCCUCUAAUUGCAGUGAUUCUAUGGUUUAAAGAAUUACACAAUGUGUAUUUUAGUUGGAAUAAGACACUAUUAUUGAGUAAAGUGCAUAAUAAUUGUGUUUCGGGAGGUGAAAUAAAUGUCGAUCAGUAGGCACUUUAAUCCAUCAUUGUACUUUGCUAAAUUACUUAAAUUGCACUACAUUCAAUACUAAAAUUACUUGUAAUAAAGUGAUUGCCGAACUGACACUCACAAAAAGAUGUCUAGCACCUACAUUUGUUUUCCUAAUUGACAAUUUUAGGCUUCAGUCGAGGGAGGGAGGAGAGCCCACAGCCUGCACUUCAGUUGAUAGGAAUGGAGGGCACGUAGACCCGUGCAGAAGCAGUCUUUUAGCAGUGAAGAAUCCUGCCUGCAUGAAGUAAUUCCAACUGCUGUUAGCUUUCAAGCCUUGCUUUGGUCACUGGGUAGGUCCAUUUUGCCUGCAUUUCCAGAAACAUUAGAUUUUGGCACAAGGCUUCCUUGUAGUGAUACUCCGCUUGUUUAUAUUGCUCUGCAACUUCUUCCCAAGCCAUUCACUAAUUAAUAUCCAAUUUAUAGACUGAGAUGGGUGAUUUGGUUGAGAAUCUAUAACAUGAUCCUUAACCAAAUGAUCCAAACUUGCUCCUGAGUGGGGAGAAAGAUGCAUUCCUCCUGCUCAAUCUCCAGAGGCACUUUGGAGGCGACUGUGACUUUUGUUGAUUCUUCUUCCUACAGUCCUUCCGCUCUGCAGGAUUUUAGUUGAUAAAAGGUAAACAUAAAAGGAAUCUUGGUUUUAGUUCCUAAUAUGACAUUUAGAUUCAGCCUACCUAGGGCUGUUUUUUUAAUUCAUGUAUUACUCCAAAGAUGUUAACAAGCUGUAUAAUUAACUGAUGCUGAGCUAAAGUAGGUUUUGGUUUUUUUAAACUUUAGCUAAUGUCUGUGGUUACGUGCUUGGGAGAAAACACAGAUUGUUUUUUUCUACAGACAAAGCAAUACCCUUCUGCAAAGGUAUGUAACUCCUUUCUCAUGAGAUUGAAUGAGAAGCUGAGGAUAUACCUGUUCUGUACAAGGAAAAACAUUUUAUGGUAAUGAAUUUAAUGGAAAUGAAAAUUCAGUUAUAGCUUACAAUAAUUUUAUUGCUGACCCUUACCUUUGGAAAACUGCUUUGCUUUCUGAAGACCAAAGUCUUUUUUCUUUCUCAUGGCUUUUCUCAGGCUUGGUUGGAACAGAUCUUCAAGAAAUGUAAUUGAAACAUGUUAGAACUUCUUUUUGGAGGAGAAACAUGCACUACAUCCAAGAACACUGGAUUUCAACCCUCUCUUGAUGUUUCGAUGGCCUCAGUUAGUGGGAUGAAGCCUUUCUUCAUGGCAGAAUGACACACGACAGAUUUGCAUCUUUAAAGAUCCUUCCUGAUUUUGCAUAUAAACAAAACCUGACUUAAACGGUUCAUCUGGUGAUUGUGAAGGGUUUACAUUGAUGGAUCAGGUCUCCACCACCAACCUCAAAGGGAAUUCUGCUGUGGGCUGCUAGAACACAGAUCAGGGAAGUGAUGCUGUUUCUAAGAGACGAGCUGCAGCACAAAGGACCCAGCCAGCCUGACUCCAUCCUGUCCAGGACAGCCAGGUUUUGACCGCCAGUGUUCUGUGGCCCUGUGGAUUUGCAGCUCAUAUAUACAGCUCUGAAAAUGCAUGCACGUCUCCUAUGGACCAUACAGCACCAGAUUGGUUGCAUGGAGGGUGAUAGUACUGACAGUGCAGAAGAGGUCUGUCCUGCAUCUUAAGACACCGCCUGUGAUACCUCAGCAGAGCUCUCCUCUCACUUCCAUGACCUGUUUGUCUCCAAAUUGCCAAGGGAGAGAAAGGCAGCAGACAGCCAGAUGAGUCUGGCUGGUCUCCAAUGCCUGUCAGUAUCGGUCCAUGGAUAGUCUUCCAUGGAGAUGUUUGAUGUUUGUCCUUGUAUUCUUUUCACACUGGGCUUCUCUGUCUGGUUGGCCACAUUUCUUCUUGAAGUGGGCUCUUUCUGCCCUGCCUUUGCCAGUGUGCUUUGUUGAGUAAAUGGAAGAAAUUGUGAUGAGGGCUUGCUGACCCCAGCCUUGAGCUAUAUGGGAAGGCCCCUUAGGAAAAGUUUUUUUGUGUGAUAUUUUCAGCUUAAGUUUCCAAUUCCAAAGGCCUGGAAAAGACUGGUUGGCAGCCAAGCUUUGAGUGUGUAUUAAUCUGCCUGUAUCCUCCCUGUAGGUUUGCCUGUCCAUGAAACAAACCACAAGGGCAUUGUUAAUGAUGCUGCAGAGAUAAGAGAAGUUCUCAACCCAGAGGGAGAUGCCAGGAGCCUUGAAACAGUUUGGAUCCUUGUCUAAACCGUGAGAGAAGCCUGUUUUUCUAAAGCAGAUGUGGCUGUGUCUUGAAAUCCAACGACCAGAAAAAUACUUGCAUUCUAUUUAAUCUCUAAGGUAUCACGGAUUCAGAAAAAUACUUAGAGGUCUUCCAAGAAAGCAUUUGUAGAUUUGAGUGUGCAAGCCUGUAAAAGUGUUUAGUUGUCUAGCAAUGGUAGCAUAUGCAGAUAAAGCAUCUUUAUCUGCUUUAAUAGUUGUUAUUCCUCCACUGAAGCUGGAAGAAAAGGGAAUGAGUGCUGUGAUCCUAUAAUCUGUUCAAAUAAGUUCCUGAUGACACAAAGGCUCUGGGGUAACAUCCUGCACUCUGCAGCAGGUGUUAAGUGCAGAGCUACUGAUGGUAAAAUGCUUUUGAUGCUGCUUAUUGUGGAGGCAGAACCCAACCCAAAACAUCCUCCUUUCUUGAGUUGGGUUUGUUUUAGCUCUUGGUGAUUUCUUAGGUAGCUAGUUAAUUUUUUAAGUUCUGCUGUGACCCUGCAGCAGCAUCAGAGAGAAUUACAUCUGCAGCAAACAAGUCAUUUUGGCCUUUCAGAGAGGUUAAUGACACUUUGAGAUCCCUCAGUUGUAUUUUUCUCAGAUAAUCGGACCAGGUAUUUCUUUCUUUCUUUAUUUUAAUUAAAAAUACAGAUCUACAUGCUCACCAGGAAGUUCGCUCACUCAGAUGCUUAACAGCACUUUGCAAUUGGCUGAAAUAUCUCUUUUCUCUUCUGGAAAACAGCAGUAGAGACAUUGAUCAGAAACUCAGACUAACUUUGGGGGUCUGAGUGCCAGCAGUGCCAGCUCACAGGUACCCCCUGUUACGCAUGCUAAAGUUGUCCUUUAUUGGCUAGCGCUUCUUACCUACCCACUGAUGUGUGUGAGGAAGAGAGCUGACUCAUUCUGAUGCUGCUGACGAGACACCCACCUUGGCUUCUGGUCCUGCUCCUGUUCCUACCAGUUGCUCUUGGUGUUGUUGGUGACCUUGCUGUUGUGCAUCCCCAGAAUGGGAGGAGGAGGAGAACCUUUGUAAAAAAAGCUGGGUAACUGAAAUGGCUCUGUACAGCACUGCUCAGCAACAACUAGAAACAUAGGUGUGUUUUCAAUAUUUUUUUUCUCCUAAUGCCUAAACAUAGCAUUAUGCCAGACACUAGGAAAGAAAAAUUGGCUCUAUCCUCCUUCAAAAAACAGGAAACCUUGGAACACGUAUUUUGGAAAAUGCUCUCUAAGGCAUCACCCACUGUGUCCUUUGCUACCCUUCCUGCUUCCCUGGGGCCCAGUCUCCCUUGCCCCUUUCUUGGUAGUAGGACUGUCCAUCUUUUGGAGGUACACUUCCACUUUGGAGCCCAUUGCAUCCUCCGUCAGGCCAAGGUAGUCCAGGACCCUCAGCCCUUUCAACUUGCACAAAGUGUUCAGCAGAGUCUUCAGGGACUGCACUGGGAGUUCACUUGCAUACUGACUUAGUUUCUCCUUUGGGAUAGACUUCAGGACUGGGUGGACAGCCAGCAGAAUUUUGUCCAGGUUAACAGUGCUGAUGGUGCCUGGGAGAAGACGUGGUCCUUGGAGCAGCUUGAGCAAGGUACAGAAGAUGCUUGUCUUGUCAGAUUUUAUCAGGACCCUUCUCAUGAGGGUGUUGAUGGACUGUGUGAGUUUUUCAUCUUUCUCUUGGUCCUGCUCUAGGCAGUCCUCCUUACCUUCUGCCUGAAGGUAAGAAUGCUGUGCAUGACAUCCUUCAGUAUAUCCAUCAAGGCCUGCUAAGCCAGUUUUAUCUCGAAGAGAAGCAUCCAGGUCUGGAUGACACAGUUGUGUCGCAGGAUGAUUUCAUCCUUCCACCUUUUCUCAUCUCUUUGCUUUUGCUGUUGGAUAAGCUUGAGAGGUUGUAAGCUGGGUACAAGGAACUCAUUUAUUGUGUCCAGGCAUGGCUUCUGCCUUGUGCUUCUGUCUCAGCAUCUUCUCCAUACCUGAAUGCUGGUAUCAGGAUCACUACUGCUAAUACAACAAAUGAGGGAAUUAAUUGUGGAUUUCAUGCCACCAUCUUUCGAGUAGACUUCAUCUGUGUUUUUGGCUUGGCAUCACCCUUGUCUUGCACCCCUUGUUCUCUGAGGGGCUCCUUGGAAGUCUGCUCCUCUUCUCUGCUGGUUUUGGGUGCUGGCUCUUUAGCCAACACUUAUGAAGACAUCUGCUUUCUGUUGCAGGUGCUGUGGUUGCAGUGGGAAAGGGUGUACUGUUGACUACAGAAUGUCUGGAAUGUAGGUCAGCAGAGGCUGGAUGGGUCUGACAGUCUGGCAUUGGCCUUCUUCAGUUCGUGGCCCUUUGCAGCACCCUUCAGCUCACUGGUGGCUUCUGCCAUCUCCUGAAAGCCAGGGAGCUUAGGAAGGAAGGCUGAGCUGCCUGUGAGGCUAUUCACACAGCCUCAUUGCUAUCCUGCAGGCAGGAGCAGAGGUGAGGCACACACGGAAACAGAUCUGAGAGAGUUCAGUGAAGUUUAUGGCUUAUGUCCUCCUGGGACCCUUUGGGUCCUCCUGGGUCCUGUCACUGGGGCUUGACUUGGGGCUGGCACAGCUGGGGACUGGUGGGAUCUGCUUGUGCACCUCCUUCAGCUCAGCCUCUAUCAGAGGACUAAGGGGCAGCCUUUCACUCUCCAUCAGUGCUCUGAGUGAGUCUCCCAUGUACAGGUAAAUAACUCUCAGCAAAGUGACGGCCAGGAGCCAUCUUCAGGGUAUUUACCAGUGUCUUGGUGUCCAUUUCAGCAAAGCCAAACUCCAAUGGCCUUUGAUAGUCCAAGAUCUUGGUUUGGAUGCUGGAAUUCUAAGGAGAAAAGACCAGUAACAUGGCUGUCUUUGCAAUCCAUGCCAAUGAACACAAUUCUGCUAUAGUUGUAAGGGCUUCUUGAGCACUCUUGCUGCAUAGCACAUCUCCUACCAUUUCCACAAUGUUGCUGAUGACGAUUUGUGCAGUUGUUCGGGAGAAGUCCCCUUUUUGAGCUAAGAGGGUGAUGGUGUCAAGCUUCAUCUUGCCUGGGUAAGAAGCAUAAAAUCAUAAAGUUUAUAAAAGACCACGAAGGUCUCCUGAUCAACGCACAGCCAACCCACAGCUUGGCCCAGCCAGUCCUGCAGCCAACCCUGUGCCAUCAUGGCAGCACCUCUGCCCUGCCAGGUGGCCCAGUGCGUCACACACCAUCACUCACAACAACCACACAUCGAUGUGCAAUGGGCACUGUCUGGGUUGAAACCAGGGCAUGGGGAGGGCACAGUGCAGUGCUAACUCAAGUGAUGGCAAGUAGUUGUAUGCAUUUGGAUACUUUGGCGAAACACAGUUCUGGGAACGGCGAAAAAUAUGCACCUUGCUUUCUGUUUUGAUAGAGGAAUGUGAGAACGGGGUUUCAAGAUUUUGGUAUAUUUUCUAUUCCAUUUUCAGUCAACAUAAAUGCAUUCAUCUUCAAAUUUUCAAAUUGAAUGUGUAGAAUUGCAAUCAGAUAUUCAACUCAGAAAUGUGACUGUAUCUCUUUACCAAACUUUCAUAACACCUCUCUCACCAGAGAAAGAUAUCCCGUGUUUCACAGUCGCGCCUCAUUCAUGUCACUGCUUUUUUGGCAGUACGUGCAUUUGUGAGCAACUGUUGUCAGAGAUGAAGCACAGGAGUAAAAUUUCAUCAGGAAUCUCUGAUGAAAACCUUGAGAACUCACUAAGAGCUGCUGCCACCACCGCCAAACUGGACUGAUGCAUCAGUUUCACAGAAACAAGGUCAAACAUCCCAAUAAUUCUACGUUUUUGUUGCUCUAUUUUGUGUAUGUUUUAAUAAAAAACAUUAAAAAAUAA